rnacentral:miRNA from 12 species
GAGUAACUCUGAGAUUUGAACC